UACGGGGGGGGUAAGCGUUGUUCGGAAUUACUGGGCGUAAAGGGCUCGUAGGCGGCCAACUAAGUCAUACGUGAAAUCCCUCAGCUUAUCUGGGGAACUGCGUGUGAUACUGGAUGGCUUGGAUUUGGGAGAGGGAUGCGGAAUUCCAGGUGUAGCGGUGAAAUGCGUAGAUAUCUGGAGGAACACCGGUGGCGAAGGCGGCAUCCUGGACCAAUAUUGACGCUGAGGAGCGAAAGCCAGGGGAGCAAACGGG
rnacentral:rRNA from 1 species